rnacentral:rRNA from 1 species
UACGGAGGGUGCGAGCGUUGUCCGGAAUCAUUGGGCGUAAAGGGCGCGUAGGUGGCCCGGUCAGUCAGUGGUGAAAGCGCGGGGCUCAACUCCGCGUCGGCCAUUGAUACUGCCGCGGCUCGAGCACUGUAGAGGCAGGCGGAAUUCCGGGUGUAGCGGUGGAAUGCGUAGAGAUCCGGAAGAACACCGGUGGCGAAGGCGGCCUGCUGGGCAGUUUAGCUGACACUGAGGCGCGACAGCGUGGGGAGCAAACAGG